UGAUGGAGGGGGAUAACUACUGGAAACGGUAGCUAAUACCGCAUAACGUCGCAAGACCAAAGUGGGGGACCUUCGGGCCUCAUGCCAUCAGAUGUGCCCAGAUGGGAUUAGCUAGUAGGUGGGGUAAUGGCUCACCUAGGCGACGAUCCCUAGCUGGUCUGAGAGGAUGACCAGCCACACUGGAACUGAGACACGGUCCAGACUCCUACGGGAGGCAGCAGUGGGGAAUAUUGCACAAUGG
rnacentral:rRNA from 1 species